rnacentral:rRNA from 1 species
UACAGAGGGUGCGAGCGUUAAUCGGAGUUACUGGGCGUAAAGGGCGCGUAGGCGGUUAAUUGAGUGAGUUGUGAAAUCCCAGGGCUUAACCCUGGAACUGCUCUUUAGACUGCCUGUCUGGAAUUCGGAAGAGGUUGGUGGAACUCCCAGUGUAGAGGUGAAAUUCGCAGAUAUUGGGAAGAACACCGGUGGCGAAGGCGACCAACUGGUCCGACAUUGACACUGAGGCACGAAAGCGUGGGUAGCAAACAGG